rnacentral:tRNA from 5 species
CGCGGGGUGGAGCAGUCUGGUAGCUCGUCGGGCUCAUAACCCGAAGGUCACAGGUUCAAAUCCUGUCCCCGCCACCA